CUUGGUCAUUUUCUUUUGGAGUUAUUGGCUUCUCACUCAUCCCUUUUCUAUCUCUUUUUCUUCACUUGAAGGCAGUAGGAGGUUACGUGGUUGCCUUCCUCUAUUCUCACCCCUGAUCAUUCUUUUUAGCGAUUCCAUACGGAUAAGAGUUUAGGCCCAGCAAUUGAAUCUUCAUACCUUUUAGCAGAUGAUUUUUUUUUCAUAUUGUAAUUGUUGUGAACUCAGUAUGUCCAAUAAAUCCAA
rnacentral:lncRNA from 1 species